ensembl:misc_RNA
UAAACUGCCAUGUUGUCAUCUUUGGACUCUCUCUUUGCCCACAAGGAACAUAUAGCACAGGUAGCAAAAGUGUAGAUGUCCACAGUAUGUGCCAGCCAAGUGCCUCAACCCUGAUGCAGACGUAAUCAUCUGCAGAGAUGAGUUUGUAGUUCAGUCUCCAUGCCCAUUUAAUCUUUGGCUUCU